rnacentral:lncRNA from 1 species
CGCCCCCCGCUGCCCUCCGCGACCCGCGCUGACGUCGCCGCGCAGCCCGUUACGUAACCCCCCUCCCCGCCUUUCCUCGCGGGCCCGGCCUCCUCCUCCAGCGCCGCCUCGCCUGCCGCAGCGCCUCCGCGUUCCGCUUUGCGCCCAAAGGGAAACUGAGGCCCUUCUCCAGCAGAGCACGGCGGGUAGUGCCCGCGGGAGUGGCUGUGACCGUCCUCGUUAGGAUUCUUGGGUCCCUAGGGGAGCCCAGACUGCGAAGGGAGCCCCAGCUCCGCCUGGGGGACUCGGCUUCCUCCUGUCUACCGCGUUCUUCCUUCCUGGCCUGGACUCUGGGGGCUCUGGAGUCUUCUGUGGCCGCUCCACCCACAUUUGUGCCUGGGCCACCAUGUGCCUUAAAUUAUAAAGUCGGGCAGUGACGCUCAGUAGGGGUUGGUUUCUCCACCUUCCUCUGGGUGACCUUAGGCAGAUUUUGCCUCUCCGAACCUCAGUGUCCCCACCUGUCUAAAAUGGCCCCUUCCUUCUAGUGUGGUGGGGAAGAACAGCAGCAUGUCGACACCCGGUGAGUACUUAGCCAGGUAGCUGUGAACUCUCCUUAUCUAACCCUCCCUGCCAGGGGCCUGCCACAGCGCCAGACCUGGGCCUGGUUAGGUGGUGCCCAGCUGGGCCAGUCAGCUCCCUGUGGACCUUGGCCUUUGCCCUGGGAGCAUGCGGUGCAGGCCUGCCCUGUGGCUCAGCAGCUGCAGAAUGGCUGGUGUUCUGUGGCCUGGUGAUGGUGGGGAGUGGGUGCUUCCCUGUCACCUUCCUUACAAGACCCUGGGAGCACCUGAGGGUCCCUUGCGGUCCCAUUCAUGGUCUUACUAAGGUAGCUCACCCAGAACCUGUUUUGAGCAUCUAGGAAGAGCAAGCUGUGAGAUGAGGAAGGUAUCUGCCCAGGCCUUCUCUGAGCUCCUCAGACACUGGGAACCUCAGUCUCUUCAUCUCUUCCUUGGGCAUAGAUAUCAUACCUCCUUCCCUUCCCUCCUGCUUGGCCCCUGCCAGCAUGAGAUGAAAUGUCACUUUCCCUACUCCCACAAAUUGGCUUGGACAUAAGCCCAGGGCUUUAUGCUCAUUUUACCUUUUUUUUUUUUUUUUUUUUUUUUUUUGAGGACAGAGUCUUGCUCUGUCACCCAGGCUGGAGUGCAGUGGUGCGACCUCGGUUCACUGCAACCGCCACCUCCCGGGUUCAAGCGAUUCUCCUGCCUCGGCCUCUCUAGUAGCUGGGACUAUAGGUAUGUACCACCACACCCGGCUAAUUUUUGUAUUUUUAGUAGACAUGGGGUUUUGCCAUGUUGGCCAGGCUGGUCUUUAACUCUUGACCUCAAGUGAUCCACCCGCCUCAGCCUCCCAAAGUGGUGGGAUUACAGGCGUGAGCCACCAUACCCGGCCUCAUUUUACCUUUGAGCAAACAUAUGAGAGGAGAAUUAGUGUCCAGGCCACACGGCACCAGCCUCGCCUUUGACAAUUGAGGAAACCAAGAGGGGGAGUCGCUCUUCCAGGCAGGGUAACCAGUCAUCCUGGUUUGCUGGAAACUGAGGGGACUCAGGCUUUACUGGGAAAACUGGGAGUUACCCUAUCUCCAGGAUACACACCUGGCAAGUGACAGUGUCUUAUGUUCAAAGUCUGGUUGCCGAGCCUGUGUGUGGCACCAAACUAUUGCCUUCAAUUUUUUGUUUGCUGAAUUAAUAAAUGCAAAUGAAUGAAUGAAUCCUUCCCUCUCACUGCCCUUCUCAGUCCUCCUUGGGCACCUUGGCUCAUGUGCCUUGGUCUGAGUCUAGACUGUGCCAGCAGCAUCCUGUGGGAGGCCAGAUGGCUGGUUCCGCUGCUGAGUUCCAAGAAACCCCUUGGCCCCUGCUUGGUUCAGCCUCAGCCUUCAGGAACCCCCCAGGGUCCACCCAACAGGCUUGUACCGUGUGCCUAGGGAGGAGGCUGGGUUCCCACCUGGUGAGCCACUCAGCCCCGUAGUAUUAGCGGUUUGGCUUCAGACUUGUCACUUUGCUUCUUGGAGCUCAGUUUCCUCACCUAUAAAAUCACAGUACUGGGGGCUGGGCGCGGUGGCUGACACCUGUAAUCCCAGCACUUUGGGAGGCCGAGGCGGGCAGAUCAUGAGGUCAGGAGAUUGAGACCAUCCUGGCUAACACGGUGAAACCUCGUCUCUACUAAAAAUGCAAAAAAUUAGCCGGGAGUGGUGGCGGGCACCUGUAGUCCCAGCUACUCAGGAGGCUGAGGCAGGAGAAUGGCGUGAACCCGGGAGGCGGAGCUUGCAGUGAGCCGAGAUUGCACCAUUGCAGUCCAGCCUGGGUGACAGAGCGAUUCUGUCUCCAAAAAAAAAAAAAAAAAUCACAGUGUUGGUUGGGCGCAGUGGCUCACACCUGUAAUCCCAGCACUUUAGGAGGUCAAGGUGGGUGGAUCACCCAAGGUCAGGAGUUCGAGACCAGCCUGGCCAACAUGGUGAAACCCUAUCUUUACUAAAAAUGCAAAAAUUAGGCCGGGCACAGUGGCUCAUGCCUGUAAUCUCAGCCCUUUGGGAGGCCGAGGCGGGCGGAUCACCUGAGGUCAGAAGUUC